AAUAUAAAAUUAUUUAUAUUUUGUGAAAAUUAAUUUAUAAAAAAAAUAAUUUUUAAAAAUCUUAAAUAGAGUAAAAUUUAUUGGAAUAUUGCUAUAAAUAAUAAAAAAUAGUACUGUGAAGGAAAUUUGAAAUAAUUGAAAAUUUAAUUAAAUGAAAGUAGUUUUAAGUUGUCUUACCUUGUGUAUCAGGGUUUUUUAAUUUUGUAAUGUUAUAAUAUAUUUCCCGAAACGAAAAGAGCUAUAACUUUUAUUGAGUUUACAUAGUAAAUAAUUUUAAAAAUUAGUUAUAGUUGUGAGAUGUUAGUCGAUUUUUGUUAUAUCUGGUUGUUGAAGAAUAAAAUUUAAUUUGAGAUUUUUAUAUAUUUAUAAAAAUGUUAAGGAUAAAAGGGGUUAGCUUUUUUUUCUAUAAUGGUUGAAUAAUAGUGAUAUUUAAUUUUUAAUUUUAAAUUAGGCUUAAAAGUAGCCAUAUUUUUAAAGUGUUCUAACUAAUAUUUAUUUAAUUAUUAUUUAUAAUUUACUUUAUUUAUUUAUUUAAUAGUUACAAUUACUUUUUUAUUGGAAGUUAAAAUGAAUUAAUAAGUAGAUAUUUUAGUAAAAUUAAAUUUUAAAAUAUUUAAAUUUUAUUAGAUUAAGUAGUAGUUUAGUUAAGAAACUCGGCAAAUUAUAUUUCUGCCUGUUUAUCAAAAACAUGUCUUUAUGAUAUAUUUAUAAAGUCUGGCCUGCCCACUGAGUUUUAAAGGGCCGCGGUAUUUUGACCGUGCAAAGGUAGCAUAAUCAUUAGUCUUUUAAUUGGGGGCUUGUAUGAAUGGUCGCACAAGAAAUAAGCUGUCUUCAACUAAAUUUAUUGAAUUUAACUUUUAAGUAAAAAGGCUUAAAUAAAUUAAAGUGACGAUAAGACCCUAUAAAACUUGAUAAAUAAAGUUAAAAAAAGAUAUUAGUUAAUUGAAACUUUUUUUUGUGGUGUUUAUUUUAUUGGGGCGAUUAAAAUAUAAUAAGUAACUGUUUUUUACAUUUUUAUGAUAAAUAGUCAAGACAAAUAAAUGAUCCUUUAUUAGAGAUUAUAAGAUUAAGUUACUUUAGGGAUAACAGCGUAAUUUUCUUUGGGAGUUCAUAUCUACAAGAAAGAUUACGACCUCGAUGUUGAAUUAAAAAAUCUUUAAGGUGUAGCAGCUUUAAUAGAAGGUCUGUUCGACCUUUAAAUUUUUACAUGAUUUGAGUUCAGACCGGUGUGAGCCAGGUCGGUUUCUAUCUUUUAAUUGAUAAAAGUUAUUUUAGUACGAAAGGAUUAAAUAACUGAAAAAUUUUUAUUGAUUUGAAUUAUAUUAAUAUUCUAUUGUGGCAGAGGAAUGCCCAGGAUUUAAGUUCCUGUAACGAAGUU
rnacentral:rRNA from 1 species